rnacentral:lncRNA from 1 species
AGAAAUCUUUCUGAUUGAGAGGGGGUCAAAUACUCAUUUCCCUCAUUAAAAUGCUAAUCAAUUUAUAACAUUUUUGCCAUGCGUUUUUCUGGAUUUUUGUUGUUGUUAUUCUGUCUCUCACUGUUCAAAUAAACCUACCAUUAAAAUUAUAGACUGAUCAUUUCUUUGUCAGUGGGCAAACGUACAAAAUCAGCAGGGGAUCAAAUACUUUUUUCCCUCACUGUAGUCUACGGACUCUGGCUGUUUGCAUCCCAAAUGGCACCCUAUUCCCUACCCACUGGGCACAGACGUCAGUUCAACAUCUAGUUUUGAUUAACAUUUGGUUGAGUUGUCAACUAACAUGAAUUCAAUGUGAAAUGAACAAUAAAAAAUGUCACUAUGUCAUUGGGUUUAGAUUAAAAGUUUGGUGAAAAGAAAUGUCCGUUUUUGUCACGAGAAUUUCUAUCCCAAUGUUCUAACUGAACUAUUGUAUAUCUCUUGUCUAAUUCCUGAAGGUUGUAAAUCUCCAGUUCAAAGAAAUAGACAGUCUCAGCCUGCAAUAGAUCAAUACUUUAUUUAGAGAGCGCUCUGCGAAUCUUUUUAUACACACACACACAAACAAGUUCAAAUCUUAAAUUACGCCUUGCUCAGACAGUUACUUUUCCACUACACACAUACAUUGUUUAUCAUAUUCUGCAACAUGUUUCAUCAUUUUCUGCAAGCCUAACAAUUUCUCUCCUCCACGGGUGGGGACAGAAUGUCCUGUUAUUGGUUUCACAGUAGCACAACUUGUCAAUCGAUAGCUCCUCUUAUCCUUUGUUUCACACUUGCACCCUGCUUACAUAGCUAAACAGGAACAAAAUGUCCUGGUCAAAUGGCACCCUAUUCCCUAUGGGCCCUGGUCAAAUGGCACCCUAUUCCCUAUGGGCCCUGGUCAAAUGGCACCCUAUUCCCUAUAGGUCCUGGUCAAAUGGCACCCUAUUCCCUAUGGGCCCUGGUCAAAUGUAGUGCACUACAUAGAGAAUAGGUUGCCAUUUGGGACACAUCCCUUUACUACAUAGUGAAGUGGGGACAUGAACAGGAGAAGUCAGGUUUCGCACCUUUAACGUUUGCCUGCGGACCGUCAAUUGAAUGGAGUCUGUAGACAUGAUGUAAUGACUGCUCAUAUUCAACAGAGGGCGCUGGAACAUAAGCGAUA